rnacentral:rRNA from 1 species
GAUGAACGCUGGCGGCGUGCCUAAUACAUGCAAGUCGAGCGAACGGACGAGAAGCUUGCUUCUCUGAUGUUAGCGGCGGACGGGUGAGUAACACGUGGAUAACCUACCUAUAAGACUGGAAUAACUUCGGGAAACCGGAGCUAAUACCGGAUAAUAUUUUGAACCGCAUGGUUCAAAAGUGAAAGACGGUCUUGCUGUCACUUAUAGAUGGAUCCGCGCUGCAUUAGCUAGUUGGUAAGGUAACGGCUUACCAAGGCAACGAUGCAUAGCCGACCUGAGAGGGUGAUCGGCCACACUGGAACUGAGACACGGUCCAGACUCCUACGGGAGGCAGCAGUAGGGAAUCUUCCGCAAUGGGCGAAAGCCUGACGGAGCAACGCCGCGUGAGUGAUGAAGGUCUUCGGAUCGUAAAACUCUGUUAUUAGGGAAGAACAUAUGUGUAAGUAACUGCGCACAUCUUGACGGUACCUAAUCAGAAAGCCACGGCUAACUACGUG